CCUACGGGGGGCUGCAGUGGGGAAUAUUGCACAAUGGGGGAAACCCUGAUGCAGCGACGCCGCGUGAGUGAAGAAGUAUUUCGGUACGUAAAGCUCUAUCAGCAGGGAAGAAAAUGACGGUACCUGACUAAGAAGCCCCGGCUAACUACGUGCCAGCAGCCGCGGUAAUACGUAGGGGGAAAGCGUUAUCCGGAUUUACUGGGUGUAAAGGGAGCGUAGACGGCAGCGCAAGUCUGGAGUGAAAUCCCAUGGCUUAACCAUGGAACUGCUUUGGAAACUGUGCAGCUAGAGUGCAGGAGAGGUAAGCGGAAUUCCUAGUGUAGCGGUGAAAUGCGUAGAUAGUAGGAGGAACACCAGUGGCGAAGGCGGCUUACUGGACUGUAACUGACGUUGAGGCUCGAAAGCGUGGGGAGCAAACAGGAUUAGAUACCCCUGUAGUC
rnacentral:rRNA from 1 species